UUAACUCGAACUUGUAUGCAGUUGGAACAGCGCCCCUAGUGGCAAACGUAGGCAAACGUUCUAACUCCAUACAAAUUUGAGUUA
rnacentral:pre_miRNA from 1 species